rnacentral:rRNA from 1 species
UACGUAGGGGGCGAGCGUUGUCCGGAAUCAUUGGGCGUAAAGCGCGUGUAGGCGGCUCGGUAAGUCUGCUGUGAAAGUCCAGGGCUCAACCCUGGGAUGCCGGUGGAUACUGUCGAGCUCGAGUCCGGAAGAGGCGAGUGGAAUUCCUGGUGUAGCGGUGAAAUGCGCAGAUAUCAGGAGGAACACCAAUGGCGAAGGCAGCUCGCUGGGACGUGACUGACGCUGAGACGUGAAAGCGUGGGGAGCAAACAGG